rnacentral:lncRNA from 1 species
AUGACUGAUAGAUUACAACUGACAGGCAGAACAAUGAACAGGAAUCCAUUUCAUUUACAAACAAAAACCACAGCUAAAGAUCAUGCAAAACUAUUUUCAAAAUGUUUUACAUUAAAGUGGGGGGAAAUUGUUUUGCUCUCCAUGCAACAUUGUGCUGGAACACAAAAGAAAGUCACUUCAACAAAGAAGAAAGUCACUUCAACACAAGAGAAAGUCACUUCAACACAGGAGAAAGUCACUUCAACACAAGAGAAAGUCACUUCAACAAAGAAGAAAGUCACUUCAACACAAGAGAAAGUCACUUCAACACAGGAGAAAGUCACUUCAACACAAGAGAAAGUCACUUCAACACAAGAGAAAGUCACUUCAACAAAGAAGAAAGUCACUUCAACACAAGAGAAAGUCACUUCAACACAAGAGAAAGUCACUUCAACACAAGAGAAAGUCACUUCAACACAAGAGAAAGUCACUUCAACACAGGAGAAAGUCACUUCAACACAAGAGAAAGUCACUUCAACAAAGAAGAAAGUCACUUCAACACAAGAGAAAGUCCCUUCAACACAAGAGAAAGUCACUUCAACACAGGAGAAAGUCACUUCAACACAAGAGAAAGUCACUUCAACACAAGAGAAAGUCACUUCAACACAAGAGAAAGUCACUUCAACACAAGAGAAAGUCACUUCAACACAGGAGAAAGUCACUUCAACACAAGAGAAAGUCACUUCAACACAAGAGAAAGUCACUUCAACACAAGAGAAAGUCACUUCAACACAAGAGAAAGUCCCUUCAACACAGGAGAAAGUCACUUCAACACAAGAGAAAGUCCCUUCAACACAAGAGAAAGUCACUUCAACACAGGAGAAAGUCACUUCAACACAAGAGAAAGUCACUUCAACACAAGAGAAAGUCACUUCAACACAGGAGAAAGUCACUUCAACACAAGAGAAAGUCACUUCAACACAAGAGAAAGUCACUUCAACACAGGAGAAAGUCACUAUGAUACUAGUGUAG